rnacentral:rRNA from 1 species
UACAGAGGGGGCAAGCGUUGUUCGGAAUUACUGGGCGUAAAGGGCUCGUAGGUGGCCAACUAAGUCAGACGUGAAAUCCCUCGGCUUAACCGGGGAACUGCGUCUGAUACUGGAUGGCUUGAGUUUGGGAGAGGGACGCGGAAUUCCAGGUGUAGCGGUGAAAUGCGUAGAUAUCUGGAGGAACACCGGUGGCGAAGGCGGCGGUCUGGGCCGGAACUGACGCUGAGGAGCGAAAGCGUGGGGAGCGAUCAGG